CUGCAUGGCUGUCGUCAGCUCGUGUUGUGAAAUGUUGGGUUAAGUCCCGCAACGAGCGCAACCCUUAUCCUUUGUUGCCAGCGGUCCGGCCGGGAACUCAAAGGAGACUGCCAGUGAUAAACUGGAGGAAGGUGGGGAUGACGUCAAGUCAUCAUGGCCCUUACGACCAGGGCUACACACGUGCUACAAUGGCGCAUACAAAGAGAAGCGACCUCGCGAGAGCAAGCGGACCUCAUAAAGUGCGUCGUAGUCCGGAUUGGAGUCUGCAACUCGACUCCAUGAAGUCGGAAUCGCUAGUAAUCGUGGAUCAGAAUGCCACGGUGAAUACGUUCCCGGGCCUUGUACACACCGCCCGUCACACCAUGGGAGUGGGUUGCAAAAGAAGUAGGUAGCUUAACCUUCGGGAGGGCGCUUACCACUUUGUGAUUCAUGACUGGGGUGAAGUCGUAACAAGGUAACCGUAGGGGAACCUGCGGUUGGAUCACCUC
rnacentral:rRNA from 1 species